UACGUAGGGCGCAAGCGUUAUCCGGAAUUAUUGGGCGUAAAGAGCUCGUAGGCGGUUUGUCGCGUCUGCCGUGAAAGUCCGGGGCUCAACUCCGGAUCUGCGGUGGGUACGGGCAGACUAGAGUGAUGUAGGGGAGACUGGAAUUCCUGGUGUAGCGGUGAAAUGCGCAGAUAUCAGGAGGAACACCGAUGGCGAAGGCAGUGGGCUGGGCCGGCACUGACGCUGAGGAGCGAAAGCGUGGGGAGCGAACAGG
rnacentral:rRNA from 1 species